GAUGAACGCUGGCUACAGGCUUAACACAUGCAAGUCGAGGGGAAACGACGGGGAAGCUUGCUUCCCCGGGCGUCGACCGGCGCACGGGUGAGUAACGCGUAUCCAACCUGCCUCUGACUGAGGGAUAACCCGUCGAAAGUCGGCCUAAUACCUCAUGGCAUCGUCUGCGGGCAUCCAACGACGAUUAAAGAUUUCAUCGGUCAGGGAUGGUGAUGCGUCUGAUUAGCUUGUUGGAGGGGUAACGGCCCACCAAGGCUACGAUCAGUAGGGGUUAUGAGAGGAAGGUCCCCCACAUUGGAACGGAGACACGGUCCAAACUCCUACGGGAGGCAGCAGUGAGGAAUAUUGGUCAAUGGGCGGGAGCCUGAACCAGCCAAGUAGCGUGCAGGAUGACGGCCCUAUGGGUUGUAAACUGCUUUUAUGCGGGGAUAAAGUGAGGGACGUGUCCUUCAUUGCAGGUACCGCAUGAAUAAGGACCGGCUAAUUCCGUG
rnacentral:rRNA from 1 species